ensembl:lncRNA
UGGGGCUGUGAGCCGGCGACCAACCGGAAGCGUUUUUUUGUUUGCUUUGGGUUUGAAAACGGGAAAAUGCCUUUUCCUCAAAUCCACCCGGGAAAGUUUAUAGAAUGAAGAUUUUUUGGGGCUAAAUUAAAUUUUACAAAUUAUUUUUUUAACAUACAGAUAAUUGAAAGGGGAGAAAUUAAAGCAGACGCAGGCCUCCUCCCAGCUGAGGGCCACGGCCUCCCCUCCUAACGUAGACCGCAGGCCCGGGCUGCGGGGACUCGAGCCGGCCGCCUGGUGGUGGUAGAAGCGCGCGCAGGGAGACGAUGUCCACGAUGGGACGUAAAGCAGUGGACGCAUGGAGACGUUAAAAAAAAGACUCUCACGCUGGACCACCUACUAGGUGACGUCAUUGAGUCUCUGAGGGUCCAGGGUUUGAGGACUUGUUUCUCCUGCUAAUGUUUUUUUAAUGUAACACUUUAAAACUGAGAAGAAGAAGAAGAAGAAGAAGAAGAAGAAGUAUUCUCGCGAAGGACCCCCCCCCCCCCCCCCCCCACAUCUCCCCCAUCCUCCCCCAUCCUCCCCUCUCCAUUUUGUCUACUCUAAGAGCAGCUCUAUUCUCCUCUCCGUCCGCCACGUGAGGGACUAUUUGUUUGAUUCCAGCUCCCGGUCGGUCCUGGUCAACACAACAUCACAGGAGUGGAACUUGCUUUGACAACGACAUCUGUGGAGCAAGAAAACAGUGACGUUUUCACCAAAACAAGUCUGUAUACUCUGGCUCUACUUCCUGCUUCAGGGUCCCAUGAUUGAACAAAUAAACGGAAAGAAACGGUGGACUUUCAAAUCCAAUUCGCCGCUCUCGAAAGUAUCCGAUCUUGAUUUCCAGUUACUGAGGUAAUUUCCUUUUUAUAGUAUGGACAGGAACUAAAGACCAGCAGCUGCUUCGUUUCUCUGCUUCUUCUGCCGGCAAAAGACUAGAAAGCCUUCAAAUUAGUCCCAGAAAUACUGUAUCUGCCUGGUCUCGAGUCCGGUGGUUUGAAUCAAACUGUGACUUGUGAUGAGCUUGAUUUACGUCACACAUCAUUGACAGAAUCAUAUUAGGAUACUUAAAAAUUGAAGAAAUGUAGUCCAUGAAAAUAGAGUUUGACACACACGUCUUAUAUCACAGGGUGUUAUUUUCGGAAUGCUUACGAGAGAAACAAGAUGAUGUGGAACCGUGGGCCUUGGACUACAAAGUACAUGUUCUUUUUUUGUCAUAUAAAAAAAAAGCAAAUUUGCAGGCAAAUUGUUUACUUGCAGAGGGAAAAUCACAGAACUUUAUACACCUUUGGCUGGAGAUGAUUUUCCACUAACUGACUGGCUUACAAAUUAAAAGUAUACAGUUCACUCAGGAUUUUAAUUUUUUUUUCUUCACGGAUCUCAUGAAAUAAUUUGUGUUAGGAAUGUGUUUUUGGCGCUCCAAUGACUACAUUUCCCCUUGUGAUUGAGUCAAAGUGUGUGUUUGCGGUAAUAAAGGAACGUGUGCAGCA